GCCCAGGUGGCGAAAUUGGUAGACGCACCAGAUUUAGGUUCUGGCGUAGAAAUACGUGGGGGUUCGAGUCCCUUCCUGGGCACCA
rnacentral:tRNA from 3 species